AGAACGAACGCUGGCGGCAUGCCUAACACAUGCAAGUCGAACGAGACCUUCGGGUCUAGUGGCGCACGGGUGCGUAACGCGUGGGAAUCUGCCCUUAGGUACGGAAUAACAGUGAGAAAUUACUGCUAAUACCGUAUGAUGUCUUCGGACCAAAGAUUUAUCGCCUAGGGAUGAGCCCGCGUUGGAUUAGCUAGUUGGUGGGGUAAAGGCCUACCAAGGCGACGAUCCAUAGCUGGUCUGAGAGGAUGAUCAGCCACACUGGGACGGAGACACGGCCCAGACUCCUACGGGAGGCAGCAGUGGGGAAUAUUGGACAAUGGGCGAAAGCCUGAUCCAGCAAUGCCGCGUGAGUGAAGAAGGCCUUCGGGUUGUAAAGCUCUUUUACCCGGGAAGAUAAUGACUGUACCGGGAGAAUAAGCCCGGCUAACUCCGUGCCAGCAAGCCGC
rnacentral:rRNA from 1 species